AUUGAACGCUGGCGGAAUGCUUUACACAUGCAAGUCGAACGGUAGCAUAGGUGCUUGCACCUGAUGGCGAGUGGCGAACGGGUGAGUCAUACAUCGGAACGUGCCCAGUCGUGGGGGAUAACGUAGCGAAAGGUAAGCUAAUACCGCAUACGAUCUAAGGAUGAAAGCGGGGGACCGUAAGGCCUCGCGUGAUUGGAGCGGCGGAUGGCAGAUUAGGUAGUUGGUGAGGUAAAGGCUCACCAAGCCGACGAUCUGUAGCUGGUCUGAGAGGACGACCAGCCACACUGGGACUGAGACACGGCCCAGACUCCUACGGGAGGCAGCAGUGGGGAAUUUUGGACAAUGGGCGCAAGUCUGAUCCAGCCAUUCCGCGUGCAGGACGAAGGCCUUCGGGUUGUAAACUGCUUUUGUACGGAACGAAAAAGCUCUUACUAAUACUAGGAGUCCAUGACGGUACCGUAAGAAUAAGCACCGGCUAACUACGUGCCAGCCGCCGCAGUAA
rnacentral:rRNA from 1 species